rnacentral:rRNA from 1 species
CGGUNANGCGGAGCUCGCUCUGCUGGAUCAGUGGCGAACGGGUGAGUAACACGUGAGCAAUCUGCCCCUGACUCUGGGAUAAGCGCUGGAAACGGCGUCUAAUACCGGAUACGAGCUGCGAAGGCAUCUUCAGCAGCUGGAAAGAACUUCGGUCAGGGAUGAGCUCGCGGCCUAUCAGCUAGUUGGUGAGGUAACGGCUCACCAAGGCGUCGACGGGUAGCCGGCCUGAGAGGGUGACCGGCCACACUGGGACUGAGACACGGCCCAGACUCNUACGGGAGGCAGCAGUGGGGAAUAUUGCACAAUGGGCGAAAGCCUGAUGCAGCAACGCCGCGUGAGGGACGACGGCCUUCGGGUUGUAAACCUCUUUUAGCAGGGAAGAAGCGAAAGUGACGGUACCUGCAGAAAAAGCGCCGGCUAACUACGUGCCAGCAGCCGCGGUAAUACGUAGGGCGCAAGCGUUAUCCGGAAUUAUUGGGCGUAAAGAGCUCGUAGGCGGUUUGUCGCGUCUGCUGUGAAAACCCGAGGCUCAACCUCGGGCCUGCAGUGGGUACGGGCAGACUAGAGUGCGGUAGGGGAGAUUGGAAUUCCUGGUGUAGCGGUGGAAUGCGCAGAUAUCAGGAGGAACACCGAUGGCGAAGGCAGAUCUCUGGGCCGUAACUGACGCUGAGGAGCGAAAGGGUGGGGAGCAANCAGGCUUAGAUACCCUGGUAGUCCACCCCGUAANCGUUGGGAACUAGUUGUGGGGACCAUUCCACGGUUUCCGUGACGCAGCUAACGCAUUAAGUUCCCCGCCUGGGGAGUACGGCCGCAAGGCUAAAACUCAANGGAAUUGACGGGGACCCGCACAAGCGGCGGAGCAUGCGGAUUAAUUCGAUGCAACGCGAAGAACCUUACCAAGGCUUGACAUAUACGAGAACGGGCCAGAAAUGGUCAACUCUUUGGACACUCGUAAACAGGUGGUGCAUGGUUGUCGUCAGCUCGUGUCNNNANAUGUUGGGUUAAGUCCCGCAACGAGCGCAANNNUNGUUCUAUGUUGCCAGCACGUAAUGGUGGGAACUCANG